rnacentral:misc_RNA from 1 species
AGUCAGGGAGCCAACCGCACAAUUGUCCAUACUUGCCUCCCAUUGAUCUCUUGAGGAGUAUAUUGCAACCUGCAAAGAAUGCAUAAUACAUACAUUAGCAAUGGGGCCAACUCAUUUGAAUUGAACACACUUGUUCAAACAUCUCUUUCUGUAUGUCCAUCCCACUUCCCAUUUCCUGUUUUCAGUAACGAUCAGAAACUAUUAAUGGAAUAAGUUGUUCCUAACAUCCCUGCUGUUUAUCAUAAAAAGUAAAAAUACAUUUUAUUUUGUGAAUUAUCUCUGCAAUUCCUAGUGAAGGAAUUGCCCAAUGUCUCACAACAUUUUGGCUAAAAAAGCAUUUACUUAAUACAAACACAAGAAACAUAAAAUGAGUUACCCAACAACAUUGUUUCUAAAACAAUCAUUCAGUUAAUAAAAACACGAGACAAAUAAAAUGAAGUAAUUUCAAUAGAUCUGGGUGCAAAUCCAUAUUUUGUGCAAGCAAAUAGGACAAGCAACACAUGAGACAGGAGGGAAGGGGGACUUCCACCCAAAAUCCAGGUACAACUUUUUUGGGUCAAUACUGAAACAAAUGUAAAACAGAUAAGGUAAUCAAUUCAUGAAUAAAGUUUAAGUUGCAUGUAUGAUGUCCACACAACCAUGAAGGUGAAAAUGUAAGGAUCUGGCAGACCUCAUCCACUGGUCGACCAAGUUAGCCCCAAGUAGAAACCCCCUGCUAUGUCCAUACCAGCCCACAUUAAAACAGAUUGUGUCCACAAACUAUGAUUUAUUAUUUUUCAGUUGGUUGAAAACUACCAAAGUUGCCCCAUUCCAUUUUUACAGGCAUUGUAGAUAAUAAAGCUGGAGUAAUGGAUGGAAAUAACCUGUCAUGCAAGCGAGA